AUAGCCGGCCUGAGAGGGUGACCGGCCACAUUGGGACUGAGACACGGCCCAAACUCCUACGGGAGGCAGCAGCUAAGAAUCUUCCGCAAUGGGCGCAAGCCUGACGGAGCGACGCCGCGUGGACGAAGAAUGCCGAGAGGUUGUAAAGUCCUUUUAUAAGUGAAGAAUAAUGUCUGUAGGUAAUGACAGGCAGAUGACGUUAGCUUAUGAAUAAGCUCCGGCCAAUUACGUGCCAGCAGCCGCGGUAACACGUAAGGAGCGAGCGUUGUUCGGAAUUAUUGGGCGUAAAGGGCAUGUAGGCGGUUACAUAAGUCUGGUGUGAAAUACUACAGCUUAACUGUAGAAACGCACUGGAAACUGUGUGACUUGAAUCUGUGAGGGGUAACUGGAAUUCCUAGUGUAGGGGUGAAAUCUGUUGAUAUUAGGAAGAACACCGAUGGCGAAGGCAAGUUACUGGCACAUGAUUGACGCUGAGAUGCGAAAGCGUAGGGAGCGAACAGGAUUAGAUACCCUGGUAGUCUACGCUGUAAACGAUGUGCACUUGGUGUCGGGGUUUCUAAGCCUCGGUGCCGUAGCUAACGCGUUAAGUGCACCGCCUGGGGAGUAUGCCGGCAACGGUGAAACUCAAAGGAAUUGACGGGGGCCCGCACAAGCGGUGGAGCAUGUGGUUUAAUUCGAUGAUACGCGAGAAACCUUACCAGGGUUUGACAUAUUUAUGAUCGACGUAGAGAUACGUAACUCCCUUCGGGGACAUUUAUACAGGUGCUGCAUGGUUGUCGUCAGCUCGUGCCGUGAGGUGUUGGGUUAAGUCCCGCAACGAGCGCAACCCCUAUUGUCUGUUACCAUCAUUAAGUUGGGGACUCAGGCAAGACUGCCGGUGACAAACCGGAGGAAGGUGGGGACGACGUCAAAUCAUCAUGGCCCUUAUAUCCUGGGCUACACACGUGCUACAAUGGCCAGUACAGAGUGAAGCGAAGCCGCGAGGUGGAGCAAAACGCAGAAAGCUGGUCUCAGUUCGGAUUGGAGUCUGAAACUCGACUCCAUGAAGGUGGAAUCGCUAGUAAUCGCGCAUCAGCAUGGCGCGGUGAAUACGUUCCCGGGCCUUGUACACGCCGCCCGUCACACCACCCGAGUUGGGGGUACCCGAAGUCGCUAGUCUAACCAGCAAUGGAGGACGGCGCCGAAGGUAUGCCUGGUAAGGGGGGUGAAGUCGUAACAAGGUA
rnacentral:rRNA from 1 species